rnacentral:rRNA from 1 species
UACGUAGGUGGCAAGCGUUGUCCGGAUUUACUGGGCGUAAAGAGCGCGCAGGCGGUCGGAUUAGUCGCGUGUGAAAGCCCCCGGCUCAACUGGGGAGGGUCACGCGAUACUGUUCGACUCGAAGGCAGGAGAGGGAAGUGGAAUUCCCGGUGUAGUGGUGAAAUGCGUAGAUAUCGGGAGGAACACCAGUGGCGAAGGCGGCCAUCUGGACCAGCACUGACACUGAGGCACGAAAGCGUGGGGAGCAAACAGG